rnacentral:tRNA from 1 species
ACGCCCAUAGCUCCAAUUGGAUAGAGCAUCUGAUUCCGAUUCAGAAGGUUGCAGGUUCAAAUCCUGUUGGGCGUACCA